GGGUCUCGAACAUCACUCCGAAGCGCUCGGGAGUCGUGAGCUUCUU
rnacentral:sRNA from 1 species